rnacentral:SRP_RNA from 1 species
GCCGAGCUCAGUAACGUGAGCUUGUAACUCGAGUGAGGGCAAGUGGAGGAGUGAGUGAGUUGUUGGAGAAGAAGAAUCUUU